rnacentral:rRNA from 1 species
AUUGAACGCUGGCGGCAUGCUUUACACCUGCAAGUCGAACGGACUUGAGGGGCUUGCUCCUUAGGUUUGUGGCGAACGGGUGAGUAAUGCAUCGGAACGUACCGUGUAAUGGGGGAUAACCCGGCGAAAGUCGGAUUAAUACCGCCUACGCUUUUUGGAGGAAAGCCGGGGAUUUUUGGACCCUGCGUUAUACGAGCGGCCGAUGUUGGAUUAGCUAGUUGGUGAGGUAAAGGCUCACCAAGGCAACGAUCCGUAGCGGGUUUGAGAGGAUGAUUCGCCCCCCUGGGAAUGAGACCCGGCCCCGACUCCUUCGGGAGGCAGCCGUGGGGAAUUUUGGACAAUGGACGCAAGUUUGAUCCCGCCCUGCCGCGUGAGUGAAGAAGGCCUUCGGGUUGUAAAGCUUUUUUGUUUGGGAGCAAAUCCUGUUCCCUAAUACUGAAUGGGGAUGAGAGUACCCGAAGAAUAAGGACCGGCUAAAUACGUGCCCGCCGCC